AUCGACCCCGCGGUUUGGUACCUCGAUGUCGGCUCUUCCCAUCCUGGUUCUGCAGCAGGAGCCAAGGGUGGGGCUGCUCGCCCAUUAAAGGGGAACGUGAGCUGGGUUUAGACCGUCGUGAGACAGGUCGGUCUCUGCCUGACAGGGGUGUAGUUGUUUGAGGGGAAGUUGCCCAUAGUACGAGAGGAACAGGGCAGCGCAGCCUCUGGUUUAUCAGUUGUCCGACAGGGCAGGCUGAGCCGCUAAGCUGUUUAGGAUAACUCCUGAAAGCAUCUAAGGAGGAAACCUUUCCCGAGAAAAGACAGCCUUCUUUACAGAGAAGGGCAGCUAUAGAAGAUAGCAUUGAUAGAAUGGAGGUGUAAGCAUCGAGCUUUUUGCGAGAUGUUCAGCCUGCCGUUACUAAUAGCCC
rnacentral:rRNA from 1 species